rnacentral:rRNA from 1 species
AGAGUUUGAUCAUGGCUCAGGACGAACGCUGGCGGCGUGCCUAAUACAUGCAAGUCGAGCGGACUAGAUGGAGUGCUUGCACUCCUGAUGGUUAGCGGCGGACGGGUGAGUAACACGUAGGUAACCUGCCCAUAAGACUGGGAUAACCCACGGAAACGUGAGCUAAUACCAGAUAGGCAUUUUCCUCGCAUGAGGGAGAU